UACGUAGGUGACAAGCGUUGUCCGGAUUUACUGGGCGUAAAGAGCGCGCAGGCGGUCGAUCAAGUCGAGUGUGAAAGCCCCCGGCUCAACUGGGGAGGGUCAUUCGAUACUGAUCGACUCGAAGGCAGGAGAGGGUAGUGGAAUUCCCGGUGUAGUGGUGAAAUGCGUAGAUAUCAGGAGGAACACCGGUGGUGUAGACGGCUCUCUGGACCGUAACUGACGCUGAGACACGAAAGCGUGGGGAGCAAACAGG
rnacentral:rRNA from 1 species